CCUACGGGUGGCAGCAGUGAGGAAUAUUGGUCAAUGGACGCAAGUCUGAACCAGCCAUGCCGCGUGCAGGAAGAAGGCUCUGUGAGUUGUAAACUGCUUUUGUACGAGGAUAAACGCAGAUACGCGUAUCUGUCUGAAAGUAUCGUACGAAUAAGGAUCGGCUAACUCCGUGCCAGCAGCCGCGGUAAUACGGAGGAUUCAAGCGUUAUCCGGAUUUAUUGGGUUUAAAGGGUGCGUAGGCGGUCGGAUAAGUUAGAUGUGAAAUCCCGAGGCUCAACUUCGGACUUGCCUCUGAUACUGUCAGGCUAGAGAGUAGUAGCGGUAGGCGGAAUGUACGGUGUAGCGGUGAAAUGCUUAGAGAUCAUACAGAACACCGAUUGCGAAGGCAGCUUACCAAGCUACCUCUGACGUUGAGGCACGAAAGCGUGGGGAGCAAACAGGAUUAGAUACCCUAGUAGUC
rnacentral:rRNA from 1 species